rnacentral:lncRNA from 1 species
UAAGGUUCUGACAUAAAUGCACGAAACUGAUUUGGUGCGGUAGUAACUCGAUAAUUAUAUCCUUAAACCUCCACAGUUCUCUGUCUUUGGUUCAGUUGAUUCUGGAUGGAUUUAGCAUUGGUACAAUUCACUGUGUAAUUGUAUAUCCCUGAAUCACUGAGUUAGAUUUGAAAUCCCUUGAAGAUUCUUUUGCAAAAACUUCUCUUUUCCUACUACUAGUGGUGCCAUUCAAAGUUGACAUUCCGAGCCCUGGAAAGAUGCUUCAUUGUAGAUGUAGCAAAUUCCCAUCCUGAUCUGGUGAUCUGAUAAUCAAGUCGGAGUAAUUACUCAGAUCAAGGCCUGAAGUACCUUCUUCAAAAUCCACUGUUAGUAGUACCAAAUUAGUAAUGGAAUCUUCUUCGAAUCACAAUCAUCUUUGUCGAACAUGGAAAACUGCUUCUAAUAAUCCUUUGAGUAAUCAAUUGGAUUGGGUCAUCAAUGUAAUUCCAUUACCGGUUCUAAGAAUCUGGUAUUUGAAAGCCCGAUGUUUGUCUUGUAAUCUGUCAGCCUGAUCUGUCUCAACUAAAUGUCAAUCUGAUUUGUCUUGGAGUAGAAUAAUUAAAAAGGUUACGGGACACUUGAUUAUUUAAACUAAGUUUAAAUUAUAAAGAAAAUAAAUUUAAAAAUAAG